rnacentral:lncRNA from 1 species
AUUUCCCUAUUGGUAAUUGUGACCAUAGCAACAGAACCUGGUGUUAUCUGCCUAGUGGAACCCAGGAGGCAGCCAUUUGACACCAACCCCCUGGUGACUGUUCUUUGAUAUUUACCUUUUCCAGAUUAAUGGAGCUGGAGCCCUUACCCUUGAAUGGAAGUCCCUUCUGAAAGCAGCCCAAAUGACCCUCCAUCAGGAGAGCCAGAGGAGCACAUCGUUUCAGCAGAGUCCACUUUGGCAGUGUGGAGAGUGAGAGACAUGAAACGGAAGAUCUGGAGGAAAGAGUACAGACACUGGUGGAAAAUCCGGCGAGAUAAACUUCAUAUUCCAAGCUGGUUUUAUUUCUGCAGUCUUUUUUCAAGGGCCAGGAAAGAACCCAAUUUCACAGCUGAGCUAGAGCAAACCGAGGAAUCUGGCAAAGGUGAGAAAGAAAUGGAAGAGUUUGGACAGAGAAAGGGGAACAUUAAGGAAGAAAAGGAAGAGAGCAGGAAGGUAAAAGUAGAGAGAGAUAGAAGGGGAGGUGUGUGUGUGUGUGUGUGUGUGUGUGUGUGUGUGUGUGUGUGGUAAGACAGUGGUGAUAUAUGGAAACUGCUAGCAGAAAUUUUUCUCUGCAAAAAAUAGGGGUGAGAAGAAAGAAUUGAGGGCAAGGGGUCUCUGAAGAUAAAGUCUAUUGACUUCACAAUUUUGUUUAAAUCUGCUCUUGACUAAAGAGCUUAUUACUGGGAGAAAGGCUGAGGUUUGGACUGGAUAGGGAGGAGAGAAAUAUUGUAGAAGGAGGAGUGAACAAAUAUAGUACAAAGCAAAGAAGGGGACAUGGAGUUUUAAUGUAUUUUUUUAUGGGAAGGAAGGGAAAAUUUGGAACAAAGUUUUAAAGUAUUUUUAAGCUGAACCAUUUUUAUAAAAUGAUAGACUGAGAACUAUUAUGACUCAGUAAGGUAGGAUGGUAUUUACUGUUAGGAGAAAUAAUGUAGGUUUUCAAGGUAGCUCUUUUAUUUAUUGUUG